GACGAACGCUGGCGGCGUGCUUAACACAUGCAAGUCGAACGGAAAGGCCCUGCUUUUGUGGGGUGCUCGAGUGGCGAACGGGUGAGUAACACGUGAGUAACCUGCCCUUGACUUUGGGAUAACUUCAGGAAACUGGGGCUAAUACCGGAUAGGAGCUCCUGCUGCAUGGUGGGGGUUGGAAAGUUUCGGCGGUUGGGGAUGGACUCGCGGCUUAUCAGCUUGUUGGUGGGGUAGUGGCUUACCAAGGCUUUGACGGGUAGCCGGCCUGAGAGGGUGACCGGCCACAUUGGGACUGAGAUACGGCCCAGACUCCUACGGGAGGCAGCAGUGGGGAAUAUUGCACAAUGGGCGGAAGCCUGAUGCAGCAACGCCGCGUGCGGGAUGACGGCCUCCGGGUUGUAAACCGCUUUCGCCUGAGACGAAGCGUGAGUGACGGUAAUGGGUAAAGAAGCACCGGCUAACUACGUG
rnacentral:rRNA from 1 species